ACAGGAAGAAGCUUGCAGUACAAAGAUAAAAAUCUAAAGUGGUUGCUGUGGAGGACAGGGGUCAGUGGUGGAAGUGAGACCGAAAUAGACUCUGAAGUAAUAUCUGGACUUUGAAAUUCUUGCCUGUUCACUCUGGCUGGUCAUAUGCAGAAAACCGAAACUAGACCCCUUUCUGACACCUUAUAUAAAAAUUAACUCAAGAUGCAUUAAAGAUUUAAACGUGAGACCUAAAACCAGAAAAAUCCUAGAAGAAAACCUAGGCAAUACCAUUGAGGACAUAAGCAUGGGCAAAGACUUUCAUGACUAAAACACCAAAAGGAAUGGCAACAAAAGCCAAAAUUGACAAAAGGUUUCCUUAACGACAACAAAAAAGGGAGUAAUCCUACCUACUGUAAGAGUCAUGACUCUUGAUUGCAGCUGACAGAAACUCAUGACAGCCUGGUUUAGAUAAAGGGGGAGAGAAGGACUGGAAGAAUCUUGGAGUUGGGAAUGUCGCACGUAAUUGAAGGAAGAACAAGAAAACUAUAAUUCUUCCCCUGGAGGCUGGAGUUUCCAGGAUGUCAAAAUUACCUCUGCUUGGGUGAGCUAUUUCAAGCAGCUGGGAUACCUGUGUCACUCCUGCUGUCUGCCAGUGACUGCCCAGCUUCUCAGAUGACCAAGAUGGUGCUGCAGAUGGUGCUGAGGAUGGAGAACCCACCAAGCCC
rnacentral:lncRNA from 1 species